CAAGUCGAGGGGCAGCAUCAUCAAAGCUUGCUUUGAUGGAUGGCGACCGGCGCACGGGUGAGUAACACGUAUCCAACCUGCCGACAACACUGGGAUAGCCUUUCGAAAGAAAGAUUAAUACCGGAUGGCAUAAUUAUUCCGCAUGGGAUAAUUAUUAAAGAAUUUCGGUUGUCGAUGGGGAUGCGUUCCAUUAGGCAGUUGGCGGGGUAACGGCCCACCAAACCUACGAUGGAUAGGGGUUCUGAGAGGAAGGUCCCCCACAUUGGAACUGAGACACGGUCCAAACUCCUACGGGAGGCAGCAGUGAGGAAUAUUGGUCAAUGGACGAGAGUCUGAACCAGCCAAGUAGCGUGAAGGAUGACUGCCCUAUGGGUUGUAAACUUCUUUUAUACGGGAAUAAAGUGAGCCACGUGUGGCUUUUUGUAUGUACCGUAUGAAUAAGGAUCGGCUAACUCCGUGCCAGCAGCCGCGGUAAUACGGAGGAUCCGAGCGUUAUCCGGAUUUAUUGGGUUUAAAGGGAGCGUAGGCGGGUUGUUAAGUCAGUUGUGAAAGUUUGCGGCUCAACCGUAAAAUUGCAGUUGAUACUGGCGACCUUGAGUGCAACAGAGGUAGGCGGAAUUCGUGGUGUAGCGGUGAAAUGCUUAGAUAUCACGAAGAACUCCGAUUGCGAAGGCAGCUUACUGGAUUGUAACUGACGCUGAUGCUCGAAAGUGUGGGUAUCAAACAGGAUUAGAUACCCUGGUAGUCCACACAGUAAACGAUGAAUACUCGCUGUUGGCGAUAUACAGUCAGCGGCCAAGCGAAAGCAUUAAGUAUUCCACCUGGGGAGU
rnacentral:rRNA from 1 species